CACACAUCACACUUAGUUUCUCUCUUUAUUACUGGCUUUGUUUUUUUUUUUUUUGACUUUUGCUCUCAACGUGGUGACCAAUUCUGCUAGUUCCAUCCAUCACCUGUGUUGGGUCUCAGCUGUGAUUUUUUGUUUUUAAAACAUCCUUCUUGGGGUCUCUUCUGUUCAGCUCCACGGAGACAGCUAAGCGUUUUCUAGCGGUUUGUGUUCUUAUAUCCCUUGCAUUCAAUCCAGCUUUGUCAACCCAAGCUCCACAUUCAGUGACAUCACACUGAUUGCUUGAAAUUGGCUGUGGUAGAAGUAUGUAUCCCACAGAAAUCAGAUGCUACAAAUCAGACGAUAAUGAGGACAAUGAAGAGAAGCGCAAACUCCGUCUUGUCGUGUGUAACCCCAAUUCGCACCAUAUGAAGAUGGAAAAGUGGACGAGGAAUGAUAAACGAUUUGGCAAAGCUUUGGAAAGUCGAGAAUUGGAAACUCCAGGUUCUUCAACAGGCAGGGAUUAUCCCUGAGCUAACAUCUGCCGGCAAUCCUCCUCUUUUUGCUGAGGAAGACUGGCCCUGAGCUAACAUCCGUGCCCAUCUUCCUCUACUUUAUAUGUGGGAUGCCUACCACAGCAUGGCUUGCCAAACAGUGCCAUGUCCGCACCCGGGAUCAGAACUGGCAAACCCUGGCCGAGAAGCAGAACGUGCGAACUUAACCCCUGCGCCACCAGGCAGACCCCUAUGUCUGGCUUUGUUGAUGACAUAAUGUUUGUGAGAGUCCUUCACAUUAUUGCAGGUAGUUAUGGAACACUCAUUCUCAUUGCUUUAUCUCAUUGUUAUUUAAAUUUGUAUUUUGUUGAUCUUAAGAGGAAUGAUGUUUAGUUUACAGACAGAGAAUAGGUGUCUUUAUAAUAUUAAAUCUCCCCAUUUGGAAACAAAGAAAGUCUUUCAUUUUACCUUAUUUUAUUUUUCUUCUUGUAGAUAUUACACAUUUCUUAUUAGAUUGC
rnacentral:lncRNA from 1 species